GACGAACGCUGGCGGCGUGCCUAAUACAUGCAAGUCGUGCGGACCUUUUAAAAGCUUGCUUUUAAAAGGUUAGCGGCGGACGGGUGAGUAACACGUGGGCAACCUGCCUGUAAGACUGGGAUAACGCCGGGAAACCGGGGCUAAUACCAGAUCGUUUUUUCCUCCGCAUGGAGGAAAAAGGAAAGGCGGCUUCGGCUGCCACUUACAGAUGGGCCCGCGGCGCAUUAGCUAGUUGGCGGGGUAACGGCCCACCAAGGCAACGAUGCGUAGCCGACCUGAGAGGGUGAUCGGCCACAUUGGGACUGAGACACGGCCCAAACUCCUACGGGAGGCAGCAGUAGGGAAUCUUCCGCAAUGGACGAAAGUCUGACGGAGCAACGCCGCGGGAGUGAAGAAGGCCUUCGGGUCGUAAAACUCUGUUGCCGGGGAAGAACAAGUGCCGUUCGAACAGGGCGGCGCCUUGACGGUACCCGGCCAGAAAGCCACGGCUAACUACGUG
rnacentral:rRNA from 1 species